rnacentral:tRNA from 1 species
GUGGCUGUAGCUCAGUUGGUUAGAGCGCUGGAUUGUGGUUCCAGAAGUCGAGGGUUCGAGUCCCUUCUGCCACC